GGGAGAGCUCCCUGCGCCGAGCUGCGCCGCGCUGCGUGCUGGGCUGGAGGCGUGCAGGGACCUGUUUCUGCUUGGGGGGGCGGGAGCCAGGCACAGGAGGAGGGAAGGGACCGUGACACCGAGCCUCUGAGAGCCAGCGGCUGGCUCUGGCCCGACCUUAGUUUUCCCUGGGCAGGAAGAAAGUACUAACAGCCUUCAAAGAGGACAACAGCCCCCAUCACCUCUGUGGGUCUCGCCCAGGAGGAACGGCGUGGUAUCUGCUGGUGACCUAUCUCUCCUUUACUGGUCUGCGCUCGGCAAGCUGCCUGAGAAGGGGCAGACACUUUCAGAGGAAAGGGGAGCUAAAGGGAUGAGCUGUGGUGAACUGGGGUAAUAGGGAGCAAGAGGACCUGGGACUCCAAUGCUCCUCAGUGACACUUCCCCAUGCCCCAGGCUUAACCCUGGCCCUAGCUCCUCCUGCCCAGAGCUCUGCCCCCCAGCAGCUGUGGGCCACCAGUGGGGAGCCAAGCCCCAGUAUUGAUCUGAAAAGCAUGAGGUGGGAAGGGGGAUAGCCAACAGUGUAGUUGAGGUUUCCAUGGAGACCAUGGGAGAGGAAAAAUUCUCUCUGCAUCAAGACCAAAGAACAAAUAUCUCCCAUGAAAUUGCCCCCAGUGUCCAAUGGCUGUUGCUAUGAGGUCAUUGUGGCCAGCCGGGGCCCUGCAGGCUGGAAGGAGUGUGUUUGUUGGGGUCAGAGCCACCCAGGGCUUGGGGGAUGGAGGUGAUGUGGAAUUCUCCCAGCUGUUCUGAGAGCGAGUGACUCCAAGGCAGCCGAAAGUGGCUGCGGAGCUUUUGUGUUUUCUUGGAGGCUUAAUUUGAUUAACACUUCAGGAGCAGUGGCAGAGUGUACAGAAACCAGGGCACCACCACCUCCUCCCUCUGCCCCCCUGCAGGCUGCCCCCAGCAGGGCCUGGAUCACAGAGCUGAGUUUGGACUUGGGGGAGCCCGGAGUCUCUGGAGCUGGCUCUUAAAUACAUGGGCUCAGAGCCGGGGUCUCCAGAACAAGUCUGAGCAUCAGGAGGCACAAGGAGCAGAGUCUGCCUGCCGCAUGCUGAAGGCUGGAAAAGGAGGGAAAGAUGAGGAAACUGAGGCCCAGGGAGAAGCUACCUGCCAAACUCAGAGCCAAGAACUGAAUUCAGGUGCUCUGACUUCCAGGCAGGGAGAUCCUACACCUUCCUGAGGCUGCCCCACAGGAGGCAACCCAGCUUCAGGGUUUGGGUCAUGCAAACCAUGGGGAAUUCCAGCAACUCAGUUCUUGAACCUUCACUGUGGGGGGUGGGUGAGGAGGGGCAGCCUGGAGGGAGAAGAGGUUGGUAAACCUGUUCUCUGCAACUGUGAUGGUUCAGGUUGCCAUGCAGCAGGGCUUUGGAUGACCCAGCUCACUCCUGCUGCACCCGGGCUUUGAGCCAAGGGUCUCUGCUCAGCCCCGGGCAAGAGGAGCAAAGGGGCUUCCCAGAACCCUACAGAACCAGAAGGGCUCCAAAGAAGUCACCCCAGGCACAGUUCCCCACCACCACCAAGGUUACUGCCAUGUAUUUAUCUUCCUCCAUCCCCAGCCAGGGCUUGGAUCAGCCUUGGGGGAAAUAGGUGUCACAGCAUGCUUCCCAGGAGCAAGGUGUAGGUGAAAGGACAGGAUAAAAGCGAAAGCAUGAAUGGGUGGUAGUGUGCAUGCCACAUAGCCCUCAGGGGCCAGAGCUGAGCAUGAGCAACAGUCACAGAGGGGACUUGGCCUGGAGGCCUUAGAAUCAUGACAUCAUAAUUAUAAUAAUAACUCCCACUGUACUAUCUAAAUUCUGAUUACAUUUAAAAUCUACUUUACAAAUGAGAAGAUUCAGGGUCAUAGAGGUAGCAAUUGCCCAGAGCCCCCUAGCUAGUAAGUGGCAAAGGUGUCUGACCCAAAGCUUCCUCUCUUCAAGGAACAGCCUCAGCCAAGCAGCUAUCCAUCCAGGCCAGGUGGUAGCACACCAUCAUUUCAAGGGUGACUCAAGCUAGAGAUCUGGCCCCAAGAGGAUGGCUGGCACUGAGGCACAAGGCCUGAGUGUCUUGUCCCCUGCCAGUACCUGGAGACAGGCUUCUGUCCAGGGCUGAUGGGCUGGCUGGCUGCAGAGCUGGUGCUAUCUAUUGUCUCAGGAGGGCAGGUGAUCUGCCAAGGAG
rnacentral:lncRNA from 1 species